GUCUUUAUUUUUGUCAUGCAUAUCAAUAAUAAAAUAACAUACUUGCGUGAGGUACCCCGACGGCAAUCCUCAAACAUAUUUAUAACAUUUGUGACAAUGUGGUAGUCUACAAUACAUGCACAGUUUCAAAUUGUUGCUUUUUAACAAUGUUAUAUUCCAGUAACUCUUUUCUUUAUACGUGAUUACAUGCAAUUGUUGAAACAUGAAUUCUGUAAGGGGUGUACUAUUGUAUUAACAUUCAAAUACAAUGUUCCCAGCACGGUCUCGGUGUUAGGGGAGAUACAUGGUGUCUCCGAGUGUAAAAUGGUUAGGUUUACCUUUGGGGAUAUAUCAUUUACGUUUUGCAUUAACAAAAAGUUUGACAUGGCUACCAUUUAGCCAUACGUACCAGUAAUAAUUGAAACAUUUAUAACCACUGCUUUUCGUAAUCAUAACA